rnacentral:lncRNA from 1 species
UUUUUUUUUUAAUCAAAUGUGCCUUUUUGAAACCAAAAUCUGCUGUUCCUCAUCAAAUAAAACAGUGUCAACUUUUCUGCAAAGCAGAUCUUUGUUCAAGCACAGAAAGAGGUACAAUUCAUCCUGCUGUAUAUUUUAUAUGUGCAUAUAUACUACAGGCUGAGUUUAAUAUGUUAAGUUGACAGAAAGUACCUAAGGAGAUGAUAUUUUUCCUCAAAAUAAAACUUUUUUUUUUUUUUUUUUUUUUUAAUAUUCUUGUUCCUCUUCUCCUGUUUGUCAGUUGAAGAACUACAAAACUACUGUCUACCCUAUCCCAACUGCUCACAUUUCCUCUUUGUGCCAGAAUUUUCUUCAGGAACAGUUCAAACAACAUCCAAAGCUCCUCUGUGUGGCCCUUCAGCUCCUUGUCUUAUAGGAUAUGUCUUCUUUGUCCCUGCUGCUCGGAUCUCACCCAGUGGCCUGUGGCAGACUCCUCCUAAACCUGGAAAAUUCUCACAGGUUUCUUCAAACACAUUUAGGAAGAAAAUGCAACUGAAAAUGGCAAAUACAAAUCCAGGUACAGGAAUGAGAGGCGAAACUGAAAUUCAUGGAUUAUUAAGUCCUGAAGAUGGCAGCAGAGGGACAAUCUGACAUGGAAGUGCAAUGAAGAAAAGGUGUGGAACUGAAUUCCUCCAUGCAGAGUAAAUGACAUCCAUUGACAUUAACUGGCACUUGCUGAAUGUUUAUGGAGACCAAACAGUGGAUAUGAGAACAGAGAGAAACCGUGUUCUCCAGCUGAAAAUUUGCUCUAUCAAAUAGUUUUACUGUGUUCUUCGUAUCUGUUGUAGUUUCCAUGGAAGUAAAGAGAAGCCAUUAUUUUCAGAAAAACCUACAUAAAUUAAAACAAAAAAUUCUCUAAACAAUAAAAUGUUGUUCAUGCAGAAAUACCAUGUCUGCUAAAACAUGUAAAAAUCCUUAUUCUAGAUGGUGGCAACAACUUAGAUAAACAGAAAUGGAGGCAAGAUUUCUGUUUUCAGAAGUGACUACUGAUCUUGGAUGGUCAGUGCAAGACAAGUUGUGCAACCUCAGCUUUUCAAAGUUCUGAAAACUAAAAAGUUUCUCUGAUCAAGCUUAUUCUCUAUUCUGUUGCUGAAAAUGAAUCCUAAGAGUUUUACUAACAUUCACUAACAGACUUGGUCAAGGAGUUAUGAAAUCCCAUUUUACAGUACAGUUAGGUCUUUCUGAACCCAU